UACAAAGCUCUGGACUCAAAGCAUAGCACCUCACAGGUUAGACAUGCCUAUAACCCCAGGACUGGAGAUGGAGAGGUAGGAAGACCAAAGUCAUCCUUGGCUGUGUAUCAAACUCAAGGAUAUCCUGGGCUAAAGAGUCUGUCUCCAGAGGGAUUUCAUUUCCUGGACUUCAUUUAAAACUUGUGUGGGAAAGGACCUUGGAGAUGUAGCUGUUCGCCUUGCAGCCCCUGUGAUGCUGGACUGUGCCAG
rnacentral:lncRNA from 1 species